rnacentral:lncRNA from 1 species
AGGUUUUCAAUUUCAAAUUGAUUUCAAUACAAUUUCAAAAUUGAGUGGCAAUUUUGUAGUUAGAAUAAAUUGAAGGUUUAUUUAUAAGCUAUACAUUUUUUUUUUCUUUUUCUUUAACUUCUUAUUUUUCUAUUUUAUUUUAAUUUUUAAAUUUUGAAAUUCGACUAAUUAUAAAAUAUUUGAUAUGCAUAUCAAAUUAAAGAUCAUGACAAGAACUUUAAUUUGAU